rnacentral:misc_RNA from 1 species
GAAAUGCGAUAAGUAGUGUGAAUUGCAGAAUUCAGUGAAUCAUCGAAUCUUUGAACGCACAUUGCGCCCCUCGGCAUUCCGUGGGGCAUGCCUGUUCGAGCGUCAUCUACACCCUCAAGUUCUGCUUGGUGUUGGGCGUCUGUCCCGCCUCCGCGCGCGGACUCGCCCCAAAUGCAUUGGCAGCGGUUCCUUGCCCCCCUCUUUGCGCAGCACAUUGCCAUUCGAGGCGGCGGCGGCCCGCGUCCAACAAGCUCAACCCCCCCGUCUUUGACCUCGGAUCAGGUAGGGAUACCCGCUGAACUUAAGC